GGGGGCGAACUGGCCUCGACUGGAUGGAGGAAGAUUGAACUGCGUGCCGUGGUUGAUCGGUUGGCCACGUUAAAAGCCGAUCAAAAAAAUAAAUGCUGAUUACAGCUACUCCAUGGCUGCCUGACAAAAGGCGCCCCAGUGCCCUCAGACGCCGAUAAGGGGAGCGCUGGACAACAUCGGAUAAGCGCUUGAAGGAUUCUCCGAAGUCCGACAUCCGCCGACAAUCAAUUUUGGAUAGCGACCCGAGCGCGUUGGACGAGCGAAGGGAGCGAAAACCAAACGCCCAACUACGCACGUAGACGUUCUUUAAGAAUCCAUCUCAGGACGCGGGUUCGAUUCCCGCCGCCUCCACCA
rnacentral:tmRNA from 1 species